GCUAGCGUAGCUUAAAUUAAAGCGUAACACUGAAGAUGUUAAGACUGAGCCGUAAUAAGGCUCCGCCGGCA